rnacentral:rRNA from 1 species
GGCCGCGGGAAUUCGAUUUCUGGUUGAUCCUGCCAGACCCGACUGCUAUCAGAGUGGGACUAAGCCAUGCGAGUCAACGUAGCAAUGCGUGGCGAACGGCUCAGUAACACGUAGUCAACAUGCCCAGGGGACGUGGAUAACCUCGGGAAACUGAGAUUAAACCGCGAUAGGUCAAGAUUUCUGGAAUGGAUCCUGGCUUAAAUCUACAUGGCCCCUGGAUUGGACUGCGGCCGAUCAGGCUGUUGGUGAGGUAAUGGCCCACCAAACCUAUAACCGGUACGGGCUCUGAGAGGAGAAGCCCGGAGAUGGGCACUGAGACGAGGGCCCAGGCCCUAUGGGGCGCAGCAGGCGCGAAAACUCUGCAAUGGGCGAAAGCCUGACAGGGUUACUCUGAGUGAUUUCCGCUAAGGAGAUCUUUUGGCAGCUCUAAAAAUGGUGCAGAAUAAGGGGUGGGCAAGUCUGGUGUCAGCCGCCGCGGUAAUACCAGCACCCCGAGUGGUCGGGACGAUUAUUGGGCCUAAAGCAUCCGUAGCCGGUUGUGCAAGUCCUCCGUUAAAUCCAGCCGCUCAACGGAUGGGCUGCGGAGGAUACUACAGAACUAGGAGGCGGGAGAGGCAAGCGGUACUUAGUGGGUAGGGGUAAAAUCCUUUGAUCCAUUGAAGACCACCAGUGGCGAAGGCGGCUUGCCAGAACGCGCUCGACGGUGAGGGAUGAAAGCUGGGGGAGCAAACCGGAUUAGAUACCCGGGUAGUCCCAGCUGUAAACGAUGCAGACUCGGUGAUGGGCUAGCCUCGUGUCAGCCCAGUGCCGCAGGGAAGCCGUUAAGUCUGCCGCCUGGGGAGUACGGUCGCAAGACUGAAACUUAAAGGAAUUGGCGGGGGAGCACCACAAGGGGUGAAGCCUGCGGUUCAAUUGGACUCAACGCCGGAAAUCACUAGUGAAUUC